rnacentral:misc_RNA from 1 species
GAUGAAGAACGCAGUGAAAUGCGAUACGUAAUGUGAAUUGUAGAAUUCAGUGAAUCAUCGAGUCUUUGAACGCACAUUGCGCCCCCUGGUAUUCCGGGGGGCAUGCCUGUCCGAGCGUCAUUGCUGCCCUCAAGCACGGCUUGUGUGUUGGGCCUCCGUCCUCCUCCCGGGGGACGGGCCCGAAAGGCAGCGGCGGCACCGCGUCCGGUCCUCGAGCGUAUGGGGCUUCGUCACCCGCUCUUGUAGGCCCGGCCGGCGCUUGCCGACACAUCAAUCUUUUUUCCAGGUUGACCUCGGAUCAGGUAGGGAUACCCGCUGAACUUAAGCAUAUCAAUAAGCGGAGGA